CAAUCUGACUGCUGCUGUGUCUGCUCCAAACAUCUGUGUGCUGCUCUCCAUGAGCACCACACUACCUGUAAAACAUUUACACAGAUGAACUGAACUGGUCAGCAGAAGGUUGCUGGAUCAAUCUCUGCAGUCGUCUCCACCGGUGUGUCUUUACUCCAGGUGACUCAGGGAUUACAGGAUUGAGGUCCCUGUAAUAAGAGCACUAUCCUCUCGCUGGCUCUGGGCUCACUGAGGAUGAAGAGACCACAGCAGCAUCCGGUCCUGAUGAGAAAACAAGAGCAGGUGGAGUGAUGGAGCAUCU
ensembl:lncRNA